rnacentral:sRNA from 2 species
UCUCACCACUCGCAGUCGGCACACCGAGGGAGCCGGGGAACCAUUUCCCAGGGGUGAAUCGGAGGUCCCGUCCAGGGACCGCCGUAGGAGACCUUCCUGCUCCGAACCCGUCAGCUAACCCGGUAGGCGAGAAGGAAGGAAAGG